AACAAGGCGUACCUGCGGACCUGCGGAGGGAUCAUCAUCGAAUUCAUAUCCCCCUCCUCUCCCGGAGGGGGACCCAUGAUAAACACUUCUGUGCACCGUAACCGUUCGCUUUGGCAGGCUUUGGUGGUGAGCGUGAGCUCGCCUCCAACCUCGCGUUCCCUCCUCCCUAAGGGGUGUUACGCGUGGCGGCCUGCCGGAGUCCCAUUAAAAAACUCGUUUUCGAACACGUCUGAAAAUUUC
rnacentral:misc_RNA from 1 species